rnacentral:rRNA from 1 species
GAGUGAUCGAAAGAUGAAAAGCACUUUGAAAAGAGAGUUAAAAAGCACGUGAAAUUGUUGAAAGGGAAGCGCUUGCGAUCAGACUCGCCUUGGGGGUUCAGCCGGCAUUCGUGCCGGUGUACUUCCCCCAGGGCGGGCCAGCGUCGGUUUGGGUGGCUGGUCAAAGGCCUUUGGAAUGUAACGCCUCUCGGGGCGUCUUAUAGCCAAGGGUGCCAUGCAGCCUACCUGGACCGAGGAACGCGCUUCGGCUCGGACGCUGGCAUAAUGGUCGUAAGCGAC